rnacentral:rRNA from 1 species
GACGAACGCUGGCGGCGUGCUUAACACAUGCAAGUCGAACGAAGUGGCGAACGGGUGAGUAACGCGUAAUCCACCUGCCCUUCAGAGGGGGACAACAGUUGGAAACGACUGCUAAUACCGCAUACUGAAGGUGGUGAUUGCGUCUGAUUCGCUAGUUGGAGGGGUAACGGCCCCCCAAGGCGAUGCGCAGUAGCCGGGCUGAGAGGAGGAACGGCCACAUUGGGACGGGGAAACGGCCCAGACUCCUACGGGAGGCAGCAGUGGGGAAUCUUCCGAAAUGGACGAAAGUCUGACGGAGCAACGCCGCGUGAGUGAUGACGGCCUUCGGGUUGUAAAGCUCUGUUAAUCGGGACGCGGUACCGGAAUAGAAAGCCACGGCUAACUACGUGCCAGCCGCCGCGGUAAUAC